UUAUUUUAUUUUAUUUCUUUCUUUCUUUCUUCCUUCCUUCCUUCCUUUCUUCCUUCCUUCCUUCCUUCCUUCCUUCCUUUCUUUUUUUGUUUUAAGGGUGGGCAGUUCGAGACAGGAUUUCUCUGUAUAGUUCUGACUGUCCUGGAACUCACUCUGUAGACCAGGCUGGCCUCAAACUCAGAAAUCCACCUGCUUCUGCCUCCCAAGUGCUGAGAUUAAAGGCGUGCACGACCACAGCCCAGCUAUUGUUUUCAAAACAGGGUUUCUCUGUGUAGCCCUGGCUGUCCAGGAAUUCACUCUAUAGACCAGGCUGGCUUAGAACUCAGAGAUCUGCUUGCCUCUGCACCCUGAGUGCUAGGACUAAAGGCAUACACUACCACUGCUUGACUCAAAUGCUGAUUUUUUUUAACUAACAAUACUUAAGAUAAAUUUUAGUUUAUACAACAGACACAUUUAUUUUCUUUUAAACACAUUUUUAUUAUUCAUACAAAAUUAUUGCAUUUACAUAAUUUACAUCAUUUUAACCCCACACUCUCCCCUCUCCGGUUCAUCCUAUGUGUCUCUCCAUUCUCUCUCAGCUUGAUGGGCUCUUAUUCUUUAAUUGUGAUAGAUAGAUAGAUAGAUAGAUAGAUAGAUAGAUAGAUAGAUAGAUAGAUAGAUCCUACUAAAUCAGUUUAAUAUAUAUAUCAGAGGGCUUGUCCCUGUAGAAAACCAAUUUUUCCCUAUCUUAGCAGUCAUUAAUUGCCUGUAGCUCUUUAUCUAGGGGUGAGGGGGUCUUACAAUAUUCCCCCUUUUACAAUCAAUAUGGUAACUGGCAUUGUCAUUGUUCAGGCCUUGUUUAGAAAAUAUUUAUUUUCUGUGUAUCAGGAUACAUUAUUUUUGAAUAUCAAUGUAACUGCUUGUAUGAUGCCAAUGUAAAUUUACUACAUUAGAUUAUUUGGGAUACCAGCAAGUCCUAGAGGAGGUGGUAGAGGGGGAAUUACUAUGAAUAAAAAUGAACCUAUCAAUAGUGAGUGAUAUUCAUUUUAUGCUGUCUUCUACAGAGACCAUGAAUACUAAAAACAAACGUUUCCAUGUUUCAAUAUUUUUCUUCUAAUUGUUUACACUUUUUCUGGCAGUAAACCAUAGAAAACUUUGUUAAUUUUUAUACUCUAACUCAAAGAAAGGCAGUCCAAUUGGCUUAUGUGUUAGCAUUAGUGAAAACUCUACCAAAAUAUUUUUCUUUUUAAACAAAAUUCACAUCCCAGAGAACUAUCCAACACAGUCUAACAUAAGUAUACACUAAUUCAAUAAUUAGACCUAAAAAUGAAUAACCUAAGAUUGACAAUUAAGCUAUUAAAAAUAAUAAAUCAAGAAGGAAGCUAUAGUUCUGUGUCUUCAAUACUUGAAGUAGAAUUAUUUAAAUGUUCUUAGUUUUAUACAUAUUUAUUUAGAAUUAUAGAUAGCCAAAUUAAUAAUCUACUCUUGCAUAAGAAAAGGCUAAUUAAGUUACUGUUUUGUUUUGGUUUUUACUAGAACUUAAGAGGCAAUUGAAAUAAUAAACUAUGUUUCAAGUUCUUUAUUCUUUGCUUUUACUUUGAAGAAAAAACAGGUCAUGUUUCUUUAGAAAUAAAAAUGGUUUUAUAUAAUUGUAGUCAUUAUAUUUCUUUUCUUAAACCAACAGUAUUUACAUAUUUCCCUUUCAUUUUUUCUUUUUCUGUUUUUUAAUAAAAAUAUACAAAUUCACUAUCUUUUUUAAAUAGCUAAAUAAAUCUAAUAUUUCUAAUUGCAAAUGAACAGAAAUUGUACUCCUCAUGGAGUAUGAACACCAGCCGUUCUCUGUAUAUUAUUACAAAUUCACCAUUCUUAAUUAUACUUAUGAUUAUAUAACCAUUAUAGAAUCUUAAUAGCUUACUUAAAAGCUUUUUCUUGUUCAAAUGGGAAACCAAGUCAGCAAAGAAUUUUGCUCUCAGCUGAUUCUGUUAGGGACUGUAAUAAAGGAAGCAGAAUUCUAGGAUCAACCCAAAAAUUGUCACAAGUUAAGACACAAAAGGAGUCAAGACAAGCACUAAAGAAACCAACUCUGAUACUGAAGCAUAAAUCAACAAAAGCUAAGAAGGAAUUAUUGUCCAGACUGGAAAAUGUCAGUGUUCAAAACUGAUGUUACAAGG
rnacentral:lncRNA from 1 species